rnacentral:tRNA from 1 species
GGGGAUUUAGCUCAGUGGUAGAGCACUUGCCUAGCAAGUACAAGGCCCUGGGUUCAGUCCUCA